UACAGAGGUCUCGAGCGUUAGGCGGAAUCACUGGGCUUAAAGCGUGUGUAGGCGGACUGGUAAGUACCUUGUGAAAUCCCACGGCUCAACCGUGGAACUGCUGGGUAUACUGCUUGUCUUGUGCAUCCUAGGGGCGAGCGGAACAGAUGGUGGAGCGGUGAAAUGCGUAGAUAUCAUCUGGAACGCCAAUGGUGAAAACAGCUCGCUGGGGGUUUGCAGACGCUGAGACACGAAAGCCAGGGGAGCGAACGGG
rnacentral:rRNA from 1 species